rnacentral:lncRNA from 1 species
AUAGACAUGUGUGAAGGACACAUUGUAGCAAAGUGUUAAUAGCUUGACAUCCUUAUUCGUGAGGCAUCUACACUACUGUAGUAAAGCUUCCUAUGCGAACAAUACACCAGAAGAUUCAUAAAGCCCCUCUCCUUUAUGUUCUUCCAGCUAUCAAACAUAAUUGAGAACCUUCUUCUCUUCAACAUCCUGUUUAUUUUCAGCCUAUAAAUUGCCUCACCUUUCUUAUCUCAUCAUCUAAGUAGGCCCACUAAGGUCAGAUAUCAUCGGGGCAUACAACACUCGUUAUUGGCUAUGCUGUAGGGACACCAACAUCAUAAAAUCACUUAUUUGACCCGAGGGUCGGGCUAGGGCCAGCCUUCUUUUUUUUCUUGUUUUUUACUUUUACUUUUACUUCAUUUGUUUUUGGCCCGGAUCUGCCCUAGGAGGGCAGCCCUUCCCACCCUUGCCCCUUAUAGCCUUCUUAGAAUGUGCUGCAAAUCUCCUCGAUUAACCUUUCUUUGACUAUAUCUUUGCCAUUGUUAUAAUUUAAUGGAAAAAGUUUACAUAUAGUUGAGACCCUAAACAAUCAAAUUAAGACGCACUUCAAAAAUUCACUAGAAGAGGUUGUUUCGAUGUUGGAAAACCCUCAAAUUGAUCAUCUCGAUUUCAAGAUGUAUAUAAGUGAAAAAAAUAGAUUUAAAGUAUGGGAAAUAGUGCAUCUUAUAAUGAUUAUCUAGACCGUCAAUUUUCAAUACUUUCGAGUGUUUAUAGAUAUGCUCAAUCUACAUUAUUG